rnacentral:rRNA from 1 species
AGCAGCCGCCGCGGGAAAACGGAGGGUGCAAGCGUUAAUCGGAAUUACUGGGCGUAAAGCGCACGCAGGCGGUCUGACAAGUCAGAUGUGAAAUCCCCGGGCUUAACCUGGGAACUGCAUUUGAAACUGUCAGGCUGGAGUCUUGUAGAGGGGGGUGGAAUUCCAGGUGUAGCGGUGAAAUGCGUAGAGAUCUGGAGGAAUACCGGUGGCGAAGGCGGCCCCCUGGACAAAGACUGACGCUCAGGUGCGAAAGCGUGGGGAGCAAACAGGAUUAGAUACCCGCGUAGUCCCUGUCUCUUAUAA